rnacentral:lncRNA from 1 species
GGGUUGUAGGUCGACUCUCAGACUCUCCCCUUCUCCCCCUGUGGCGCUGUCCCCAUUUUGCUUCAACCUUCUAGCCUUCCAGAGUUCUAGGUUUGAUUAGCGAGUCCCGGCAGUCCGCCGAGCCACCUCCUCCGCCACCGAGCCCCCUCCAUAGCUCCACUGCGAGUCUGUGAUAGUCGCACUGCGACUCCUUCAAGGCUUCAAUCUCAGAUCCCAGGUAUUGGAUUUGUGGUUGAUUGAUUGUCAUUGCUGAUGGGUUGUUGAUGAUGGUGGGAAAGGGUUGUUGUCUUGUUGAAUGUUUGAUAAUUGAUUGUCAUUGUCGAUGGGUAAUGGGUUGUUGAUGUUGGGUUGAUAAUUGGGAAUGGCCGAAUGGGUUGUCCAGCUACAAUGAUGUUUGGUAAUGGUUUGGAAUGGGUUGUUGACUUGUUGAUGAUGCUUGAUAUUUGAUAAUUGAUUGUCAAUUUGUCAUUGCUGAUGCCUGAUGAUGUUUGAUAAUUGGGAAUGGCCGAAUGGGCUGAUUAGAAUUUUUUUUUCUUUCAAAAAAAUGGUGUUUUACAACACCAAGUCACCAACUAGUUUUGAAUUUGGGCUUGUUUAGUUGUCAAUCUCAGUUCAAAAUAUUCUUGGGUCUACUCAGGUGCUCUGUGCAAUACUGGGUUCCAAACCUAAAAAAAAUAAAAAUAAAAAAAAAUAGAGUUCUUGGCAAAAUUUUUAUAUGUAUAAAAUUAGCCCAACCCUUCUGUCAUUCCUGGCUAUGUCCCUGUUGAGGAGCCAAUCAGAAGCAGCGACUCUUCCAUAAGCAGCAACGAAGGCAACUAGUGCACCACCACCCAUGCCUUUAGCAAAUGCAACGACACCUUCUCCACCAUCCAAGACUGUCAUACUUCACCAAAAGCAACAUGUAGCCAUUGUAGUGCCACGGGCCUCCAUGCAAAACACGUUACCCAUCCUCUUUCAGUCAGAAUAGGAAUUGAAAACGAUCACCCUCCAAACUUGUAAUCGAUAGCUGAUCCCUCAAAUCCCAGACUGCCAACAAAGUUCCAGAAGUAGAAAGCCGAGAAGAAGAGAACUGAGAUUGGAAAUAAGAAGACCAAAGGUAAGAAAGAAAAAUUUUCUGGAUGCAAAUGAGGCUACAGAUUCUGAUCCUAAGCGAAAUGAACUCUUCCCAUUAAAUUCUUCUAUGUACUGUUGGAGAAAGUAAGAAUCUUGAUCUGUAGGUUAUGGCAAAUUAAGAAAACUUAUCGCUUCAAGGCACAUUGUAACAACAAAUAACCCUUGUGGAUACAAUGAAGCCUAGCAAUCUUGCUAUUGUUGAUCGGCAUCUUGCAUUUACGAAGAUCAACCCAACACUCGAUCAAAGGUUUUCAAGAGGCUCAAGGUUGCUAGAAACUAUAUCUGCAGUUUUAUAAUUUCUAGAUUUUAUCUGUGUAAGAGAGAGGAAGAUUGAUUGAAUGAUUUGAAAGAAACAAGUAGUGAAUAGAGAAAAUAAGGUUGCUUGAUAUGUUAAUUUGCAGAGAACUAUCCCCUAUAUACACAGGAGUAGUCAUGCCUUUUGAAAUGAUAUCAUAUCUCUUCACCAAGAAUUAUGUAUAAUUGCCAACAGUCAUAUUUUCAAUUUGAAUUGAGUUCAAAAUCAGCAUAUACA